CCGGCUGCCUGGCCGGCCCCCACCCGGCUUCCGAGGCCCACGCGGGCACGAGGAGGCUUCCCUCCCGGGCUAGGCCGCGGCGGCUUUUCUCCUCCCCGCCCCGGCGCGGGAGCCAGUAGCAAAGGGCCACGGGGCCGGUCGGGGCCUCGCGGCCGCCCCCUGACCCCAACCGGCUCCUCCGGAGGCAGCGGGAGCCUCCCCCGCGGCCCGGCCCUGGCCCCACGCCUUCCCCCGCGGCCCAGCCGGGCCUCGGCGCCCAGGCGCCUUGGAGAGCCGGGCCGGUGGGGCAGGUCUCCCCCUUUGUCCCCACUUGGAGCGUGAGGCCCUUGCGGUGGCAGCCCCGAUUUAGCCGCCCGGGGCCCAGCCCUCCGUCCCGGCCCUCUAGCUUUCGAGGUGGGGGCUGGGGCCUGGGAACACAGAGCGGGCCUUCCCCGGGAUCCCCCCCGGGCCACGGCUCUGGGGUAAACCCUUAGAUCUCCGGCCCUUCCUGGGGGAGGGGAUGCGAACGGGGCGGGCCUUUGGAAAUGCAGAUGAGUCGCCGCCUGCUGCGUGUCGCCCGGGCUGAACCUUGGUGACUCAGCCACCCCCCUCCCAUCCAUUCCCGAGUGAGGACCGCCUUGGCAGCUGGGAAGGUGGGGUGGGGGGCCAUGUCUGUUUGUAAGGUUCCCCUGCCCUCAAAGAGACCCCGGCCGCGUUUGCAUCUGGCCAGACCCACAAGCCGGGUGCCGCCCUAAUGCGUCCUCCGACUUUUACUCCCGCCCCCAGGCCCUUGACUGCAGAAGGGGCGACGUGUACGGUACCCCCAGAGCAGACCUCCCUCUUUGGACAGCAGGAGCAGGCCUAGUUUGACUGUGACAGUCCUCCCGCCAAGGUGAACACAAACGACCUCGUCCCACAAACGCUGCCGGACGCUGUCCCUAGACUUCUGGGUCCCCACAGAUCUUGCGACAAGAACCGGCUUAAAUAUCCUGCUUGCCCUCCCAAACCUCUGCAGGAAGUCCUGCCUGCCUCCGUGGAAAGCUGGCUCAGCUCUGCCCCUGCAGCCUGGCCCUGGCCGUGGCUUUGGCUGGGCUCCUCUCUUUCGGGAGCUGCCUGGCAGACUGUAUCCUCCAGGAUCACCCUGGUUACCUUGACAACUGGGUCUGGCCUUCCUCCUCCCUCCCCAGCCACUGCUGAACUUGGCCUCCAUGCACUUGCCCAGGCAGUGUGCCUGUCCUUCCACUUGCCUGCCCUCCCCAGCAUUGCCAAGUUUAGUUCACCUAGUUCAUGUGCUGCCAUCUCCCAGCCUUCCUGGAGCCCCGUAUGGGCUCUACUUCCCAACUCCCUUGGACUGAGAGACUGUGAGCUCCUCGAGGGCAGGAACACAAUUGCUUCUCAAUAAAUAUGUGUUGCAGAAAAGGAAUGGAUGAGCUGCUGUGAUUUUGUCAGGGUUUGGUUGACUCACCAGAUGUCCCUCUGGUCGGGUGACCCAGAGCACAGGCGCGGCUCCCACC
rnacentral:lncRNA from 1 species